CAGGAAAGCUGAACACAAGAGGGAAGAAGUCUCUGUUCUCAUGGAGCAUAUAUUCCAGUUGGAACGCAAUUACAGAAAGACAGACGAACCUCAUGGAAUCGGCUCACUGCAUGCAAGUCGAGUUUCCGGUCACAGAGGAUGCAGCACGACCUGUUUCCACACCUGGAGAGAGAGAGAGAGACAACGUGAGCAGGGGAGGGUCAG